AAGACAAUGGUAAAACAAAAUCAAAUAUAACCUUACUUCUACCCAUCCUCACCCUCACACAUCCUAAUAAGCUCUCAGAGUCCUAUAUCUUUAAAGUUCCUAGAGAUCUUAAACCAAUGGCUAUGAUACCAUAAUUUCUAUCACGCCCCAAACCCGAAACAUAACAGAUACCACAUACCUAGUAAAUUAGCAAAUAUGUAAGGCUACAAAACUAGAUAGAAAACAGACAACAUGAUGAUCAAAAAAAAUUUCACUAAAUCCAAAAAAUCAAAAAAUGAGACUAAUAAUUG
rnacentral:lncRNA from 1 species